CCUACGGGAGGCAGCAGUGAGGAAUAUUGGUCAAUGGACGAGAGUCUGAACCAGCCAAGUAGCGUGAAGGAUGACUGCCCUAUGGGUUGUAAACUUCUUUUAUAUGGGAAUAAAAUGUUCCACGUGUGGGAUUUUGUAUGUACCAUAUGAAUAAGGAUCGGCUAACUCCGUGCCAGCAGCCGCGGUAAUACGGAGGAUCCGAGCGUUAUCCGGAUUUAUUGGGUUUAAAGGGAGCGUAGGUGGAUUGUUAAGUCAGUUGUGAAAGUUUGCGGCUCAACCGUAAAAUUGCAGUUGAAACUGGCAGUCUGGAGUACAGUAGAGGUGGGCGGAAUUCGUAGUGUAGCGGUGAAAUGCUUAGAUAUCACGAAGAACUCCGAUUGCGAAGGCAGCUCACUGGACUGCAACUGACACUGAGGCUCGAAAGUGUGGGUAUCAAACAGGAUUAGAUACCCCAGUAGUC
rnacentral:rRNA from 1 species